UGGAGGUCUUUAUGGGUAUGGUAUGACUUGCCGAAUUGUGUUGCUUACAUUGUGGGACCCACACGAUCCUUUCCCCUUUAAGUGAAAAAAAAACCCGCUAUAGCCGGAACCUUCCACGCGCAAGCGCUGAUCUUUCUUUCCCACCCCCACCAGGUCUUUUAAUAGCCAGAUUUAUCAGAAAUUCUCUGUGAUGGCCACUGGGGUUAGCAGAGUAGGAAGCGUCUGUAUCCGAAAGCGCAAGGCUAGAUCCUGGCAUUGCGAAUAUCUUCCGCGGAUGGUUUACUUUAAGCCCUUGGAGGAGGUCGGGAGGGACCAACCAAAGUGGUACGCGAGAGCGCUGCUAGUAGUGAGAUGGGUGGGUGAGUGUUGGGGGGGGGGGAAAGGGACUAUUUUCUGAGGGCUCUUGCUAGGCAGCGCAGGAAGACGAUCGGUUGUGCUAUAACUUCCAGUAGCUUCCUCACGAGGCCUCUUGCGCUCCCGCCCCCCCCUCCCCGCCUCCGCCUUCCUUGUCAUAACUGAGCAGCUUCUGUUUUUUUCCCCACCAUCUCCCGCUCGCUUUCCCGCUCUGUCGUACCGGCUGAAAGCCUCGGCUGCGGCUGCUGGCGUAUUGCAUUAGCACCAGGGGGCGCCCUAACGCAGCCUUGCGAUUCCUCCCAUUUACCCCCCCCCCCCCCGGAGGUAGCUGCAGCAUCCUUCUCUGAUUUCUGCUUGCAAGUUGCCAGCCAUGCACGGCAGCCUCUCGGGGGUCUAGUGUGAGCCUCCUGCCGUAAAGCCAGAAAAAGUGCCUGGAGACCACCGUGCGGUUCGAUUCCCGACAAGAACCUUUUCGAUCGACCUUUAGGCCGCCUACCUACCAGUGCCUUUCAUUGGGGGAAUCUCUCUCCAUCUAAAUACUCUCAAUCCCGCUCCUUGAAAUGAUCUGGGUGGAAGACGGCAACAUUCCCCGAAUGGCAGCAACCAAGCUCCCUGUGUGAGCAAAACUCAUCUUUUGAGCCCUGCUGAAAGGAUCGUUUUUGAGCAGGGCAAUUUGAUGCUUCUUGUCUGCAUCCUGAUUAACUGUUUUAAAUUGUUGCCCUGAUUUUCAAGGCUUUUAGCUGUUUUAUUGGUUUUAUUGUGUUUUAAUACUUUGAUUUUAAUUGUUAAUUUGUUUUAAUUGUUUUUAUCAUGCUGUGAACCACCCUGAGCCAUUUUGGAAGGGCGGUAUAUAAAUCAAAUAAAUAAAUAAACAAAUCCUGCCAAACAGGCAGCAGUUUUUGA